ensembl:misc_RNA Y_RNA Y RNA
GGCUGAUCUGAGUGCAGUGGUGUUUACAACUGUUUGAUCACAAUCAGUUACAGACUGCUUUGUUCCUUUUCCACUCCCACUGCUUUACUUAACUAGCCUAAA